ACUACGGGGGGCAGCAGUCGAGAAUCAUUCACAAUGGGGGAAACCCUGAUGGUGCGACGCCGCGUGGGGGAAUGAAGGUCUUCGGAUUGUAAACCCCUGUCAUGUGGGAGCAAAUUAAAAAGAUAGUACCCCAAGAGGAAGAGACGGCUAACUCUGUGCCAGCAGCCGCGGUAAUACAGAGGACUCAAGCGUUGUUCGGAAUCACUGGGCGUAAAGCGUGCGGAGGCUGUUUCGUAAGUCGUGUGUGAAAGGCGCGCGCUCCACCCGCGGACGGCACAUGAUACUGCGAGACUAGAGUCAUGGAGGGGGAACCGGAAUUCUCGGUGUAGCAGUGAAAUGCGUCGAUAUCGAGAGGAACACUCGUGGCGAGGGCGGGUUCCUGGACAUUACCUGACGCUGAGGCACGAAUGCCAGGGGAGCGAAAGGGAUUAGAUACCCCGGUAGUC
rnacentral:rRNA from 1 species